rnacentral:rRNA from 1 species
CCUACGGGUGGCAGCAGUGAGGAAUAUUGGUCAAUGGACGAGAGUCUGAACCAGCCAAGUAGCGUGAAGGAUGACUGCCCUAUGGGUUGUAAACUUCUUUUAUAAAGGAAUAAAACGAGGCACGUGUGCCUUUUUGCAUGUACUUUAUGAAUAAGGAUCGGCUAACUCCGUGCAAGCAGCCGCGGUAAUACGGAGGAUCCGAGCGUUAUCCGGAUUUAUUGGGUUUAAAGGGAGCGUAGAUGGGUUGUUAAGUCAGUUGUGAAAGUUUGCGGCUCAACCGUAAAAUUGCAAUUGAUACUGGCAGUCUUGAGUACAGUUGAGGUAGGCGGAAUUCGUGGUGUAGCGGUGAAAUGCUUAGAUAUCACGAAGAACCCCGAUUGCGAAGGCAGCUUACUAAACUGUGACUGACAUUGAUGCUCGAAAGUGUGGGUGUCAAACAGGAUUAGAUACCCGGGUAGUC